UGGAGCCAGCUCUAAAGCAGCUCUGUACCACUUGGGUAGCCUCCACUGGGGACAUUUGGAACUUGGCGCUAGAGUGAAAUCUUCAGACUCUAAGUUAAAGGGGCAUAUAAAAAUGUUACUAGCAUGGGCGGCAAAAGCAGCACUACCUAUGGGAAAAGCAGCCAAUCUCUGGCAAUGAAUAAGUGUAAUUGAUCACAAAAGAUGACUUGAUGGCCCUUCCAAACGUGCUUUUAGCAAAGUGGACAGUUUUUCAUUCAAAUGCAAGCUCACCCAGAUAAAAUCUAAUAAUGGAGACUUUGGAACAAUCCCAGCGUCAGCAAUUCCUUUUUUUCCCCCACUCUCCUUCUCUGAACAGGAAGGCAUCUUAAGUUCCUGGUCACAGCUUGACCUAAUCAGAUGACAAUUUAUGCUUUCCCUAAGGCUGAGGAGACCCUGACAGUCCCUGGGGCAGCAAAAGGCGCCUGAGGUUAAACAGGACCAACCAAGUGUCUCAGGGAGGAGCGGGGAAGUGAGCAGCAGGCGAGGCCUAGGACAGGAGCGGCGGGGAUCUAGAGAGGGGUGCGCCUACCUGCCAAGGAGCCGUCCUCGUGGUCGGAGCUGUUGUAGCUGCAGUCACUGCCCCUCUCGGGCGAGCUGUGGCCCGGCGAGUCCCGCUCCGGCAACCCCAGGUACCUCUUGCGCCGCCACGGGGGGAGGUGCUCGCGAGCCCUCCGCCGUGGCGGCUCCUCUGCCACCGGGGGCGAGCCCCGCCCGUCCUUGGCCUCUGCCUCCAGUUGCUCCAGGUCGCGGCUCCCGCGCAGCUGCCGCCGGCCGCCG
rnacentral:lncRNA from 1 species